rnacentral:misc_RNA from 1 species
AAGGAGCACUUCUCCGGAUGGUGUCUCGAACAGUCGAGAUCGCCUCUGGCAGAGACAGUUUCGGACUCACAUGUAGUCCGGCUGGAGCUCAUGGGUGGAACGCUGACAACCUCUUCCGUGUAUCGGCUGGUACUCAGUGACCGGCCGGCGGGUGAUAUAUCGACACACUGUUGGGUCCUGAAAGAACAGACGUUCUUUCCAGGCAAAAGAUACGACAAGGUCUUCUCCGCGUGUCAUACCGCGGGUUUUCUUCCCGGCUGGUGCCGCAGUGGUGAGAAGGUCUUGUGUGUUGUUUGAGAACUGCACAGUGGACGCGAGCAUCUUUGUUU